GGGCCCGCACAAGCGGUGGAGCAUGUGGUUUAAUUCGACGCAACGCGCAGAACCUUACCAGCCCUUGACAUCCCGGUCGCGGACUCCAGAGACGGAGUUCUUCAGUUCGGCUGGACCGGAGACAGGUGCUGCAUGGCUGUCGUCAGCUCGUGUCGUGAGAUGUUGGGUUAAGUCCCGCAACGAGCGCAACCCCCGUCCUUAGUUGCUACCAUUUAGUUGAGCACUCUAAGGAGACUGCCGGUGAUAAGCCGCGAGGAAGGUGGGGAUGACGUCAAGUCCUCAUGGCCCUUACGGGCUGGGCUACACACGUGCUACAAUGGCGGUGACAAUGGGAAGCGAAGACGCAAGUCCUAGCAAAUCUCAAAAAACCGUCUCAGUUCGGAUUGGGCUCUGCAACUCGAGCCCAUGAAGUUGGAAUCGCUAGUAAUCGUGGAUCAGCAUGCCACGGUGAAUACGUUCCCGGGCCUU
rnacentral:rRNA from 1 species